rnacentral:rRNA from 1 species
GGGUCAGUAGGUUGGUCGUGCCACCGGUACGUACUGGUCUCACUGAUUCCUCCUUCCUGAAGAACCGUAAUGCCAUUAAUUUGGUGUUGCGGGGAAACAGGGCUGUUACUUUGAAAAAAUUAGAGUGUUUAAAGCAAGCUAACGCUUGAAUACAUUAGCGUGGAAUAAUGAAAUAGGACGAUCGAUCCUAUUUUGUUGGUUUCUAGGAUUGACGUA